AGCAGCCGCGCUUUGGGGCGUCGGCUCACGUGGGGCCGGCAACGCGUCUUCCAGGAUGUUCGCGCGCUAGUCGCCGCUGAGGGGCCGGCGAUGCGCGAGGAGUUCCGGCGAGGAAGGUCGGUCAGUGGACAUGGCCGAGGCCCGCGGUGUCCGCGUGUGGGAGCUGCAGGGCUGAGGAGAGGCCGCCCGCAACCCUCGGGAAUCGUGUGAGAGACGAGGUCUCACUAUGUUGGCCAGGUUGGUCUCGAAUUCCUGGCCGCAAGCCGUUCUCCAGUCUGGGCCUCCCAAAGUGCUAGGAUUACAGGAACAGAAUUGCCAUUGGGCCCAGGGAGAGACUACACUUCUUGUCUGCUUUGUUGCUAGUGCGGCCUUGUGGCCAAGCACAGAACGUGUGCAGUGAUGAUGGUGCAACUUCUAGGUCGUCCCCAGCAUGGAAAAUGAGCCCUGGGCAUGGAAGAUGAGCCCUGGUCCUGCAGCGGUGCUCUUUCCUCUUCUCACAAGCUGGAAUGUGCAUGUGCUCCCACCCAGCUUUGACCAUGGGGCGAAAACAGUACUCUGCAGUCUGGCAGAGCAACAAGGUGGAAAGGGCCUGGGUCCUUGAGUGACGUCAUGAGCCCUCUCACUGUCCCGACUUUGGGACUGUUAUAUGAUAAGGACUUUCUGUGAGUCACUGUCUUUUAGAGUCUCUCUGUUUUAGCUGCCUGGACUUUAUCCUGAAUAAUAUGGCUGUUAUCAUGGGUAUAGUGUUACUAUGAGCCUCAUCUAAGUAAUUUCUACUCUGCCUUUGACCACUAAACUCAUGUUGGACAAGAGUCACUUAGCAUUAUUUUUUCCUCAAUGAAGAGGUUAAGAUGGAGGGAGCAGGAGAAAUUGAGGCCUGUGUUUUACCAGAAGGUGAAGGGCUGUCUUUGCCUUUCCUACAUUUAUGAAGGAUAAUUCUAGACAAAAACAUUAAGUUCAUAUCAAACCAUCUGCUUUGUGAAGCCAUGGGCUUUGCUAGAACUUUCUGUGACAUGACAUUUAUUAACCCGAGUCUACCUGGAAGUUAGAGCUGAGGAAGUUUUCCUAGAGUGGAAAAAGUCCAAUGCACUUGUAAAAGUCAGACCAAGCUCAGCUCAGAUUUCAGUUUUAUUAGAAGUAUGUCACCUUCCUGAGCCCUUAUUAUUUCCCCAUCUGUGAAAUGAGGACACCGUUCUCUCUUUCUAAGCAUUGCUGGGAAGACCACACACCACUGAGACAGAAGGUGGGGCUAGCGCAGUUCUGGGCAUUUUG
rnacentral:lncRNA from 10 species